GAUGAUCUCAAGUAUGAGGAUCAUAUACAUAUUAAUCACUAUGAGUAAUGUUGUGACAAUUACAUAAUAAUCCAAGAAACAUACUCAUAGCUGGUCAAUCCAAUAUGUUGUUCUCUAACACACAUAUUCAUGCAUUGAUUCUGACACUCCAUAUCAAUGACAACUCUUUAUCAUCAAUCAACUACAUGUUAGUCUUAAUGCAUUAUUAUUGUCCUAG
rnacentral:lncRNA from 1 species